rnacentral:rRNA from 1 species
GAGUUUGAUCCUGGCUCAGGAUGAACGCUGGCGGCGUGCCUAACACAUGCAAGUCGAACGGAGUUCUUAAGGAAUGCGGCUUCGGCCAAAUGACUUUUGAACUUAGUGGCGGACGGGUGAGUAACGCGUGAGCAACCUGCCUUUCAGAGGGGGAUAACAUUUGGAAACAGAUGCUAAUACCGCAUAAGAUUACAGUACCGCAUGAUACAGUGAUCAAAGGAGCAAUCCGCUGAAAGAUGGGCUCGCGUCCGAUUAGAUAGUUGGUGAGGUAACGGCUCACCAAGUCGACGAUCGGUAGCCGGACUGAGAGGUUGAACGGCCACAUUGGGACUGAGACACGGCCCAGACUCCUACGGGAGGCAGCAGUGGGGAACAUUGCAC